CCUACUUGAGUUUCUGUGAAAUUCCAAGUAUUAUCAGCUGUCGGAAGGCCGUGACCAUGUAAUUCCCAUGCAUGGAUGCUUUCAGAUUUCUUCAGGAUCAGGUGAAUGCAUCUCUUCGGGCAUCUACAUUAGCUGUUAAAGAGAAAAGGGCCCGCCUGGGAACUCUACUCCCAUUUGGACCAAAGUGCCUUGGUGGUGAUAGCAAUAUAAUGGCUGCACUUAACCCCAUCAAGCUGCUGCAGUGGCUGCAGAGAGGAGAUUGCAGGAUGAUCUGUGGUGUGGUUCUGUAUCUUCUGGCACUUUUAGUGCAGUAGAAAAUGAAACUGGCGUGCCUGAGUGAUGACACCUAGGGGAUCGGCUGCAGGCUCAAAAGAUUCUGUUGUUGUUGUAAGAGAUACACAUGUGAUAUGCCUAGAUGAUGAUGGUGUACAUUCCACAAAGGUUGGCUUGGAUUCUAAGGAUGGAUUAAUGAGCUCUUCAACUUCUGGCUCCAUUCGUAGUCAUCGUGCAAUAGAUAGUAUAGAGGAUAAAGCUAACUGGGAAUGCAAUGUGUGCAGCCUAUUGAAUCAGGUAAAAUUGCUUCCCUUCAUUCGGCAUUAUACUGUUUGUGGUGUGAUUACUACUUGUGACUUCAUUUCGUUACUUAAGGUAGCGUUGGGUUUUAAUUACAAGGAGGAUCCAGAGACUGUCAAGAUUGCAUUCCAACAAUUCUGCACCUGAAAGAAUGAAUAUUAAAAGAUGCUAUGCUGCUGCAACAUUGGAGAAUUCCUAACCAGAACAUCAGGAGGGAAAGGCAAAGGCUCUAGCUACAGCAUGUAAUGAGUUAUAGGGAUUCUUUAGGAAAGAAGACUUUAGAAGAAUGGAGGUUAUUGGGCAGUUCAAUCUUAGUUUUAUAAUCGGCAAGAUUGAUCAAGACUUAUUUAUUGUAGAUCAGGUAACUUUGCCUUUUUCUUCAUAUCAGUGGA